rnacentral:sRNA from 1 species
GAUACCAGGAUCAAACGAUCAUGCGUUUCAUGCUUGCAUGAAAAAGCAUGAUUUUGGGACCCGCAAAACAUGAGAAAGUAGCCCGAUUAGGGUGAAUUUCGAAUGUUUCUAGGAUUGCGAGAACACAUAGUGCGGAGCAAUCCGUAGGUAUC